rnacentral:rRNA from 1 species
GACGAACGCUGGCGGCGUGCUUAACACAUGCAAGUCGAACGGAAAGGCCCUGCUUUUGUGGGGUGCUCGAGUGGCGAACGGGUGAGUAACACGUGAGUAACCUGCCCUUGACUUUGGGAUAACUUCAGGAAACUGGGGCUAAUACCGGUUAGGAGCUCCUCUGGCAUGGUGGGGGUUGGAAAGUUUCGGCGGUUGGGGAUGGACUCGCGGCUUAUCAGCUUGUUGGUGGGGUAGUGGCUUACCAAGGCUUUGACGGGUAGCCGGCCUGAGAGGGUGACCGGCCACAUUGGGACUGAGAUACGGCCCAGACUCCUACGGGAGGCAGCAGUGGGGAAUAUUGCACAAUGGGCGGAAGCCUGAUGCAGCAACGCCGCGUGCGGGAUGACGGCCUUCGGGUUGUAAACCGCUUUCGCCUGUGACGAAGCGUGAGUGACGGUAAUGGGUAAAGAAGCACCGGCUAACUACGUG